CGCCAGCAGUGAUGGAAGUACUGUUGGGCAGUUGGAGGUGAACAACCAGCAGUGAUGGAUGUUAGAUGUGAGAAGUUAGCAUUGAUGGAGGGUAGCUGAAGUGUUAGCGUAGGCUAACGAUCUGGAAAUAUCCGACUUGGAGAUUGAAUAUUAUUCAUGAUUAUAUACCUUUGUACUAGAUGUCAACGACGAUUUAUAUUCGUGUUUGAACUGGAUGUCACAUUAUUAAGCUGUCGCAGUGAAAGAGGAAAAAGCACACAAGUACAAGUUGAAGGACGCUGUCGUUGAAGAGCUUAGACGAACAUGUUGGUUUGUGCGACUGAUGCGUGUACACCAAUUUAUGACUAAUACAAUAUUAGGGGAAAACCAAGAAAAGUGACCACUCUAAGAAAAACCUUCUUUUUCUCUGACAUCAUGUCAUAGGGUAUCAUGAUUCGUCCGGCUAUUAUUAAUUUCUACAUGAACUGUGAAAUGUCUGCCGUUGUGGUUUCACAAAGUCUGCCAUCUUUGGCACUCCCGGCAUACUAAUCUCCUUCAUCGACUCAAAGCACAGUCCUCGACACAGCGUCAACUUGGAAUUCCCAGCCAUGCAGUCAGCUUGGACCACGCGCUGGGGCUACCCUCCCUUGCUCCAGCUAAUGUUCGGCAUAAAGCGGUUGCUGACGAGCCCCGACUUGCCGGGCGGCCCGUGUGCCCACGCCAACUACGAAAUUAGAAUAUUUUCAGGGCGCCACAACUCGCCCGUUACCUCACGAAUGGAAAUCAACGAACUAUAUUACGAGAGCUGCGAAUUCAGUGCGUGUGGACUAGCUCACGUGAACUUCAAAGACCUGUUAACGUCAAUUACGGUUGUUAAAGAACUUAUACGAUUCAAUUGUGACUGUUACACACUUACUGGUGUCUUACAACCCCAUUGCAACGAACAUCGGAGCGACAUUUUGCCACGACUUAUUUCUGUUCUUGGUAAGAGUGUUAUCUCUCACAGUGAUUCAUAUCUGACGUUAACAUUCACAUUUAAACUUUAAUAACGAAGUGCAGCUAAUGCUGUGUCUUGAAUGUAGUUAUUCAAACUCUCAUGUACUUAAGACUUAUCGUUAAAUAAAUUCAUUAUAAAAGUAUAUGAAAGAGGACAGUGACAUUAGAGAUUAUCGGGAGGGUUGAACAUGGAUGU